UGUGUUUGCAUAUCUGUCCUGCCUCUCUGCUCCCAGCCGUUAAGAGGCCAGUGUUGAUCAGUGGCUGUCCAGGCCUUUCAGAGCCACUGACACGCCGGCAGCACAAUGAUGAUGUCACUGAUUCUACUGCUGGCCACCCUGGGGCUCCUUGUUCAGGGUUCAUCAGGACAAAUCAUCCUGACUCAGUCUCCUGGAUCUCAGUCUGUUGUUCCAGGACAGGCUGUCUCUCUCAAAUGUAAAACCAGUACAAGUGUUAGUAGUUAUAGUACCAGCUACCUCCACUGGUACCUUCAGAAACCUGGAGAAGCUCCUAAACUCCUGAUUUAUGCAGCUACAACCCGUCAGUCUGGAGUUCCAGAUCGUUUUAGUGGAAGUGGAUCUGGGACUGACUUCACUCUGACCAUCAGUGGAGUUCAGGCUGAAGAUUCAGGAGUUUACUACUGUCAGCAGAGUUCCAGCUUCCCGUUCACACAGUGAUACAACGUCGUACAAAAACCUCCCUCAGCUGGAGAGGAACUGAUCUGACUCAACAGCUGCACUGAAACUAAAACAGAGGUUUAUAAAAAUGCACAUUUAGCCAAUAAUUAUUCACAUUAAUGAUUGCAACACUAAAUCUUCUUUAAUAUAUAAUAUUCUAGAAGUUAUACUUCUAAUAUGUUUAUUAAAACAGAUUUUGAACCACUCUUCUGAACAUUAAAGCUAACCUCUG